rnacentral:rRNA from 1 species
UACGGAAGGGGCAAGCGUUGUUCGGAAUCACUGGGCGUAAAGGGUGCGUAGGCGGGUCUUUAAGUCAGGGGUGAAAUCCUGGAGCUCAACUCCAGAACUGCCUUUGAUACUGAAGAUCUUGAGUUCGGGAGAGGUGAGUGGAACUGCGAGUGUAGAGGUGAAAUUCGUAGAUAUUCGCAAGAACACCAGUGGCGAAGGCGGCUCACUGGCCCGAUACUGACGCUGAGGCACGAAAGCGUGGGGGAGCAAACAGGG